rnacentral:rRNA from 1 species
GUAACAAGGUUUCCGUAGG